CUUCCUUUUGCUCCUCAGCUGGCUGCUUCCUGGUUGCUGCUCCUGCUGUGGCUCGGCGUCUUGGUUUGGACUCGGAACCCCAUUGACGACAGGCGGUGGUGACUCGUACUGUGCCCUGCUGUAACUUGCAACUCCUCGGUUAGGGUUUUUUUUGUGGACUGGAAAUACUCCACGACAUUGGAUUGGAUGGCGAGCUACCCAACAACCCACACAUCAAUGUGGUAGGACUCACAGAACCCAUUUUGGUUUGUGGAUUGAGUCUGGAUUCCUGGCUUAUCUGUUUCCCUCACGUGGAAAAAAAAAAAGACCCUCAACCUCAAGACAUCUUGUUUGUUGUGUUUGUCGUUACUAAAUAUACCUGAUUAUUUAUAGCAAAUAUUAACAUAAUGAAUACAUAUAUAUAAAUAUAUAACACGGGUUGUGUGUAUUUUUUGUUCUGAAUUAUUCUAUGUAUCUAUAAAUAUACGCAUUGCUUGGA